rnacentral:rRNA from 1 species
UACGUAGGGGGCUAGCGUUGUCCGGAAUCAUUGGGCGUAAAGCGCGCGUAGGCGGCUUGGCAAGUCGGGUGUGAAACCUCCAGCUCAACCUGGAGACGCCACUCGAUACUGCCAUGCUAGAGUCCGGUAGGGGACCACGGAAUUCCUGGUGUAGCGGUGAAAUGCGCAGAUAUCAGGAGGAACACCGGUGGCGAAGGCGGUGGUCUGGGCCGGCACUGACGCUGAGGAGCGAAAGCGUGGGUAGCAACAGGAUAGAUA